UACGAAGGGGGCUAGCGUUGCUCGGAAUCACUGGGCGUAAGGCGCACGUAGGCGGAUUGCUAAGUCAGGGGUGAAAUCCUGGAGCUCAACUCCAGAACUGCCUUUGAUACUGGCGAUCUUGAGUCCGGGAGAGGUGAGUGGAACUGCGAGUGUAGAGGUGAAAUUCGUAGAUAUUCGCAAGAACACCAGUGGCGAAGGCGGCUCACUGGCCCGGUACUGACGCUGAGGUGCGAAAGCGUGGGGAGCAAACAGGG
rnacentral:rRNA from 1 species